rnacentral:rRNA from 1 species
UACGAAGGGGGCUAGCGUUGCUCGGAAUCACUGGGCGUAAAGCGCACGUAGGCGGCUUCUUAAGUCAGGGGUGAAAUCCUGGAGCUCAACUCCAGAACUGCCUUUGAUACUGGGAGGCUCGAGUCCGGGAGAGGUGAGUGGAACUGCGAGUGUAGAGGUGAAAUUCGUAGAUAUUCGCAAGAACACCAGUGGCGAAGGCGGCUCACUGGCCCGGUACUGACGCUGAUGCGCGAAAGCGUGGGGAGCAAACGGG